UAUAAGUGCACUUGUAAAUUUUCGUAUCCAUCGGAUGUCUCAUUUAAAAAAAUUGUGAUUAGUAUUUUUAUUGUUAUAAUUAGAUGAUAAAACCUAAAUAAUACUUUAUGUGAGUAAUUUUCUUUAACAUCUUUGUAACUUUUUUAAAUAAGACGAACGGUCAAACGUUGUACACGGAAACCCGCAACCGCACGCACU
rnacentral:pre_miRNA from 1 species